UGCCUUGAACUGGCUGGAAAAUACCAACACAGAUUCGGGAGGGUUGGGAAGGAAGAGAGGGUUCCCCCAGGUAGAGAGCGGGCUCGAGGGAGCUGGCUGGGAACCCUUGCCCUGUGUGUCCACUUGGAUCUGAUUGCUGCUGGUAUCACCCCUCCCACCCACUGAUGGACCGAUGCAUUGUUCCCUGGCUUGAAGCAGGGCCUGGGGAAUCUCCCCUUCCCACCGGUGGUCUCCCCAACCAAUGGUGAUAAGUUACCCCCCAGGGGACUGCAAUCUCUGGACUCGGGACCUGGAUCAGGAGUGGGCGGCAGCUCCAUCCCUCACUGAGUUGUGGCCUCCUGCCUGAUGUCCACCAGACAGAUGCCGCACUGCUAUCCUGGGCCCAGGUGGCCACUGCUAUGCCCCGCCCCAAGAUGCUGCAGGACAGGCGCACCCAACCAGGAUCUUCCCCACCUGUGCCCAGGCCCUUCCUGGGGCAGAAGGUGGCAGUGCUCACUGGCCAGGCCCAAGGAGGGGAGGCUGGGCAGGCUUGGGUUCCAGGGGACAGGAAAGUGGGAGGAGAAAUCCCCCUCCCCCUCCAGCUGGGAACUUCUGAUGGGCGUGGCCGCAGGAAGCAGGGCCCCAUAAACAGUCUCUGAGCCUCCGCAGCCCCUUGCAUGCUCCAAGCUUCCACUACCCCAUCAGACUUCACUUACACAACAUAGUUUUAAGCCUGGGGCUGCACAGCAUUAAACCCCAAGCAUGGGGCCCUUCUGAGCUUAGGUCCCUAUGGGACUACCCUGGUCAGUGGUGUACUCUUGGAGCUGGGCCUGCAUGCAGGAGCAAAGAGCAAGUGAGCCAGAGGAGAGUCAAUGCCCCUGUCAGCAAGGCCAGCCCUGCCCAUUUCCCGCUCCCAGCAGGGUCCCUCCUGAUCCACAAACAGCUCUCUGAAGAGUGGAUUUGUUCCUUGGACAAAGCCUUCUUUUCUCUCGAUCCUGCCCCGUUCAGCACUGCCCUCAAUUCUCCCCGCCCGCUCAGGGUUUUAAGCCUGGUGCUUUGACCCAACCCCCACUGCUGGGAGAGUGGGCUGCACUCCUGGACUCAGAGGUGAUCAGUGCAGAGGCCACAUGAGCCAAGGGUACUCCCAGCCUCAAGUUUUGAAAACGCUUUCUUCCUGACAAUGGUAGACUGAACUAGCCUCUUGGGUCCUACUGGGAAAUCACCGUUAACUCUCUCGCUCUUCAAGAAGGGAGAAGAAAGGCAACUCCCUAUGUGAUAGGCUCACAGCCUAGAGACGACACACAGCUUCUUGGUCAAGCCUGGCACGCCACCCCGGAGAUCCAGUCCUAAGAAGCCACAGGCUUCCUCUUCUUCCUGGUCUCUCAGUAAUUAACAUCACUUCCCAGAGAAAGAUCUCAAUUUCAGAUUAUGAUACAGAUUCCACCGAGAUUCUCCUCACGGCUGCAGCAAAAACAAAUCUGUGACAAGAUUUGCCAAAUACAAAAGACUUGGAGUCCUAUGAUACACUUACUGAGGUCUCUUUCAGGACCAGCGAGAUGUCUAAUUCAAAAGAGGAAGCUAACCAGUGCUAGAGGAGAUGGUCCUGCUCCUUGGUCUGGAGCAGACGUUCAAAGUGGUGGUCUGUGAAUCAUCCGCAGCAGAACUACACGGAAUGAUGUUUUCAAAAGCAGAUCCCUGCAUCCCCGCUUCAGAGCUGCUAAAUCCCCGUGGGGGGAGGGGUCAGAAUCCACAUUCUACAUAAGGCGAGUGUUUGUACUCUUGCAUCUAUUGACAUUUGUGAAUCGAAGCUUGAAGUGGUUCUGAAACUACUGAGGCGGCCUCAGGAUCACCUGGAGAUGGCUGGGCCCCACUUACGGAGUUUCUGAUUUGGCGGGGCUGGGGCAGGGCCUGAGAAUCUGCCUUUCUUCUGAGUUCCUGAGUGAUCCUGAUGUUGCUGGUCCGAGAGCACCACUGGAUAAGGCUAUGAGGCCCCCAGAGGACCAGCGUCUCAGCCUGCUGGAGAGUCAGGGUUACUGGUGGACCCCCGACUCAUGAUCCAGAUGACCGAGCCAUGCUGUUCCCCAGUUGCAAGAGAAGAACGUAAUUUUCUAAGCAAUAACAUCCAUUAAAGGAGUAAAAUAUGAGCACUAUGCCCAGCCUGCCCUGAUGAGUUUAGAAAGGUUUAGUCUCUUCAUAAGCUAAGGGCAAAGUUAGGAAGCUGCUUUCAUUCCUCCAAUAAGAAUAAAAUCAAAUGGUGCGUAUGGUCUGCC